rnacentral:misc_RNA from 1 species
GGAGCAAUGGCUAGAGGUGGAGGCACCGAACUACCACCCCCAUGUUUACAACUUGGCCAUUCACGCAUUAUCUGCCUCAGUCUUGGGAUUUCCUCCAGAUGAGAAGCUUAUCCAAGAGAGUGAAGCAAAAUUGGCAAAGGUUCCGGAUAUUUACAAGGGGAGACUUACCAAGAGCAAGUACUUAGCUGGGGAUUUCUUUAGCCUUGCUAAUCUUAGCCACCUUCCCUUUAUGCACUGCUUGCUUGGCCCCAUCAAUAAGGAGCAGAAAGUUUGUGAGUUCUUGUUGGGAUGAUAUUAGCAACAGGCCAUCUUGGACGUAGGUCCUCCAACUAUGACUUUUGGGUAUCUAGAUCAAUGUUGAAGGGCUCUUAUUUAUCAUGUUUUUUUUUUUUUCGGAAAAUUUCUUCCCAAGUCCUCUACCUUUUUGGGUUUUAUUUAGGGAUAAUGGCAAAAGAAUCCCAAACUUUACUAUUUUUACAAUUGCACAUUGAUUUU